GACGAACGCUGGCGGCGUGCUUAACACAUGCAAGUCGAACGGAAAGGCCCUGCUUUUGUGGGGUGCUCGAGUGGCGAACGGGUGAGUAACACGUGAGUAACCUGCCCUUGACUUUGGGAUAACUUCAGGAAACUGGGGCUAAUACCGGAUAGGAGCUCCUGCUGCAUGGUGGGGGUUGGAAAGUUUCGGCGGUUGGGGAUGGACUCGCGGCUUAUCAGCUUGUUGGUGGGGUAGUGGCUUACCAAGGCUUUGACGGGUAGCCGGCCUGAGAGGGUGACCGGCCACAUUGGGACUGAGAUACGGCGCAGACUCCUACGGGAGGCAGCAGUGGGGAAUAUUGCACAAUGGGCGGAAGCCUGAUGCAGAAACGCCGCGUGCGGGAUGACGGCCUUCGGGUUGUAAACCGCUUUCGCCUGUGACGAAGCGUGAGUGACGGUAAUGGGUAAAGAAGCACCGGCUAACUACUUG
rnacentral:rRNA from 1 species